AUGACAUGGAGGUGCAACCAUCAUACAAAUGCCCUGCUAUGGAUGAGAACAAUGAAACUUUGGUCCAUGAUGAAAAUGUGCACCAACAGAGGAAAAACACUAGUGCAGAUAAGGGUUCUUUGGGUCACAAGUCUACAUCUCAAGAUGCUCUCUGUGUUGGCAAGACAAAUUCAAAACAAAAAACAGAGAGUAUAUAGCGACAGCCAUAGUCAACAACUUGGUAACGUUGGGCAGAAUAAUAAUGUGAUGAGCAAGGAAAACUUUCUCUAUGACAUGGAGAUGCAACCAUCAAACAAACGUCCUUCUAAGGAUAAGAACAAAGAUACUUCUAUCCAUGAUGAAAAUGUGCAACAAGAGAAGGAAAACUCUAGUGCAAAUAAGCAUGGUGGCCAGAACAUUAGUAAAGUCUCAAGAGGAGGUAAUGCAACAAAGCAUGCCAAUAAACAACAGUGCGGUGCAACAAAUUGCCUGGGUGCCGACUCGAUAGAUGUUGGCACUAUAGUAUUUUUCAAGAGCUUGGGAAAUCCAAACAAGAAUGUUGCUCUUGGUACACUCCAAAGCACUAACCCAGAAUAUAAAGUUGAGGGUGUUCAUCUUGGUAAUCAAUUCUGGGCAGUGCGAAUUGAUGCUACAUUAGCAAAAUCAGAUCAGUUGAUACGACCUCUAAAAAAGGUCAACAUUAUUGGUCAUGCAGCAGGAUUAAUUAUCGCAUGGCCAUCAACCUUUAUUGCUAAGAUAAAUUGA
rnacentral:rRNA from 1 species